AUGUUAAGGAACCGGAACCGAAGGAGAGUAAAGAUAGCUUAGCUUUCAAGUCAAAGGAGAGUUAUUAUUUACAAAUUAUGCUGGCGAGAAGACUUUCUUCUCAAGCAAGUCUCCUCAGUUGAACCUUUGCUUUUGCAAGAUUAUUGCGGACCAGUAGUCGCCGAUGCAGAAACUGUUUCUUAUCGUCUAUGGGUUAGUGGGUGUUUAUCGUAUAGUGAUAAGAUAUCAGAUGGUUUUUAUAAUAUUAUUGGGAUGAAUCCGUAUCUGUGGGUGAUGUGUAAUGAAUUUGAAGAAGGAAGACGCUUACCAUCUUUAAUGUCUCUUAAUGAAAUUGAACCCAGCGAGACACCUAUGGAAGUUGUUCUUGUUGAUAAAGAUGGGGAUACACGUCUCAAAGAGCUUGAAGAUAAAGCCCAUGAGUUAGACUGUGCUUCGGAAAACACCUUAGUGUUGGUCAAGAAGCUUGGCAAACUUGUUGCUGCAUACAUGGGGGGAACUUUUCCAGUGGAGCAAGGGGAUCUUCACAAACGCUGGAAAUUGGUUAGUACGAGGUUGAGGGGCUUUCAGAAGUGUAUUGUGCUCCCCAUUGGCAGCCUAUCCAUGGGACUUUGCAGGCAUAGUGCAAUCCUCUUUAAGGGAGCAUUGAUAUUGCAACUGAAUUAGGAGCGUCAGUGACACCCAGAACUAUAACCAGUCCAUUAUGGAUACUCCCUUUUCCAUGAUCAUUCAGUGAGAAAUUGGCAGACUACAUAGGCUUGCCAUGUAGAAUUGCUAGAGGAUGCAAAAAUUGUGCAGCAGAUCAUCGUUCUUCUUGCCUUGUAAAAAUUGAAGAUGAUAAAGUCAUUUAGGGAAUAUGUAGUUGAUCUUGUCAGGGAGCCAGGAAAUAUCCUUGGUCCAGAUUCAUCUAUCAAUGGAGGAUUCCAUUCUUUAAUGCCUUCACCAUUUCAACUUUACCGUCUAAAAGAGUUCCAGCAA